GAUGAACGCUGGCGGCGUGCCUAAUACAUGCAAGUCGAGCGAACAGACGAGGAGCUUGCUCCUCUGACGUUAGCGGCGGACGGGUGAGUAACACGUGGAUAACCUACCUAUAAGACUGGGAUAACUUCGGGAAACCGGAGCUAAUACCGGAUAAUAUAUUGAACCGCAUGGUUCAAUAGUGAAAGACGGUUUUGCUGUCACUUAUAGAUGGAUCCGCGCCGCAUUAGCUAGUUGGUAAGGUAACGGCUUACCAAGGCAACGAUGCGUAGCCGACCUGAGAGGGUGAUCGGCCACGCUGGAACUGAGACACGGUCCAGACUCCUACGGGAGGCAGCAGUAGGGAAUCUUCCGCAAAGGGCGAAAGCCUGACGGAGCAAUGCCGCGUGAGUGAUGAAGGUCUUCGGAUCGUAAAACUCUGUUAUUAGGGAAGAACAAAUGUGUAAGUAACUAUGCACGUCUUGACGGUACCUAAUCAGAAAGCCACGGCUAACUACGUG
rnacentral:rRNA from 1 species